AAGGCAAGCAGGAAAGCAAGACUUCUCGCCGAGGUGUUGGACAGGAAGCUGGGAUUAGUCCAAUUAAAUGAGGAGGAAGAGCUUCUUCUUCUUCAAUAACUUCAAAUUCCUGGCGUGCAUAUAUCAGAAGAUCUUUCCUGCACCCAGCACACCGAUGCAAUUGUAAAGAAGGCACAUCAGUGACUCAACUUCCUGAGAAGAUUACGAAGAUUCGGCAUGUCGAAGAGGAUUCUCCUAAACCUCUACAGGUGCACAGUAGAGAGCAUUCUGACUGGUUGCAUCGUGGCCUGGUUCGGCAACUUGAACGUCCAGGAGCAAAAAAGACCAAAAAAGUUGUGACCACGCAACAUAUUCUGUUGUGCUGCUGCAGCAAGUAAGAAUUGAAUUGUCCCAUCCAGGACAUAUGACAAUAAAACACUCGACUUGACUUCUUGCGUAUGGCGUGCACAGCCUAAAGUUGGACAAUUUGUUCUAUUUGAUUGUGCAUGCCAGGUUGAUUGCAUUCGUCGAAACAGGACCACGUGAAGGUUGCAAUCUCCCACCCCUUAGGAAGAGCAAUGAAGUAGCAACCAGGUCAGUCACACAUGCAUGACCAUGAGGUUGCCCAAUCUUACCUAGUCCCAUUUGCUUGCAUUUUGUUCACAAAGAAAAGUCAAAUCAAAUUUAUAAGAUAUGAUCUGCCACGUACAAACUCAUGCUAAUUUGUAAUGGUACACUUGUCAGGGAUGUGAGGGUGAGGGAAGGAAAGCAGGUAACCAACACAGAAUUUCUCCUCCCUUAGUUCAAGCUUCCCACCCACUCUCAGAG